GUUGUAUGGUUAAGUGACUAAGCGUACACGGUGGAUGCCUUGGCAGUCAGAGGCGAUGAAAGACGUAGUAACUUGCGAUAAGCCCAGAUUAGGUAGUAACAACCAUUUGAGUCUGGGAUUUCUGAAUGGGGAAACCCACGUGCAUAAGCACGUAUCCUUACCUGAAUACAUAGGGUAAGGAGGCGAACCGGGGGAACUGAAACAUCUAAGUACCCCGAGGAAAAGAAAUCAACCGAGAUUCCGAAAGUAGCGGCGAGCGAAAUUGGACUAGCCCUUAAGCUUUACACGCGUUAGACGAACGGUCUGGAAAGUCCGACGAUACAGGGUGAUAGUCCCGUAGUUGACGACGUGUGUUCAGUGAAAUCGAGUAGGGCGGGACACGUGAUAUCCUGUCUGAAUAUGGGGGGACCAUCCUCCAAGGCUAAAUACUACUGACUGACCGAUAGUGAACCAGUACCGUGAGGGAAAGGCGAAAAGAACCCCUGUGAGGGGAGUGAAAUAGAACCUGAAACCGUGUACGUACAAGCAGUAGGAGCAGGCUUUGUCCUGUGACUGCGUACCUUUUGUAUAAUGGGUCAGCGACUUAUAUUCAGUGGCAAGGUUAACCAUCUAGGGGAGCCGUAGGGAAACCGAGUCUUAACUGGGCGUUCAGUCUCUGGAUAUAGACCCGAAACCAGGUGAUCUAGCCAUGGGCAGGUUGAAGGUUGAGUAACAUCAACUGGAGGACCGAACCGACUAAUGUUGAAAAAUUAGCGGAUGACUUGUGGCUAGGGGUGAAAGGCCAAUCAAACCUGGAGAUAGCUGGUUCUCCCCGAAAGCUAUUUAGGUAGCGCCUCGGACGAAUACUACUGGGGGUAGAGCACUGUUAAGGCUAGGGGGUCAUCCCGACUUACCAACCCUUUGCAAACUCCGAAUACCAGUAAGUACUAUCCGGGAGACACACGGCGGGUGCUAACGUCCGUCGUGGAGAGGGAAACAACCCAGACCGCCAGCUAAGGUCCCAAAUUACUACUAAGUGGGAAACGAUGUGGGAAGGCUCAGACAGCCAGGAUGUUGGCUUAGAAGCAGCCAUCAUUUAAAGAAAGCGUAAUAGCUCACUGGUCGAGUCGGCCUGCGCGGAAGAUGUAACGGGGCUAAGUAGUAAACCGAAGCUGCGGCAAUAUACUUUUGUAUAUUGGGUAGGGGAGCGUUCUGUAAGCGGUUGAAGGUGUGUGGUAACGCAUGCUGGACGUAUCAGAAGUGCGAAUGCUGACAUGAGUAACGAUAAAGGGGGUGAAAAACCUCCUCGCCGGAAGACCAAGGGUUCCUGUCCAACGUUAAUCGGGGCAGGGUAAGUCGACCCCUAAGGCGAGGCCGAAAGGCGUAGUCGAUGGGAAACGGGUUAAUAUUCCCGUACUUCUUACAAUUGCGAUGGGGGGACGGAGAAGGCUAGGUGGGCCUGGCGACGGUUGUCCAGGUUCAAGUGCGUAGGCUUAAGAGUUAGGUAAAUCCGGCUCUUUUUAAGGCUGAGACACGACGUCGAGCACCUACGGGUGUGAAGUCAUUGAUGCCAUGCUUCCAGGAAAAGCCUCUAAGCUUCAGAUUGUAAGGAAUCGUACCCCAAACCGACACAGGUGGUCGGGUAGAGAAUACCAAGGCGCUUGAGAGAACUCGGGUGAAGGAACUAGGCAAAAUGGUACCGUAACUUCGGGAGAAGGUACGCUCUCGACGGUGAAGUCCCUCGCGGAUGGAGCUAUUGAGAGUCGCAGAUACCAGGUGGCUGCAACUGUUUAUUAAAAACACAGCACUGUGCAAAAUCGUAAGAUGACGUAUACGGUGUGACGCCUGCCCGGUGCCGGAAGGUUAAUUGAUGGGGUUAGACUUCGGUCGAAGCUCUUGAUCGAAGCCCCGGUAAACGGCGGCCGUAACUAUAACGGUCCUAAGGUAGCGAAAUUCCUUGUCGGGUAAGUUCCGACCUGCACGAAUGGCGUAAUGAUGGCCACGCUGUCUCCACCCGAGACUCAGUGAAAUUGAAAUCGCUGUGAAGAUGCAGUGUACCCGCGGCUAGACGGAAAGACCCCGUGAACCUUUACUACAGCUUGGCACUGAACAUUGACCCUACAUGUGUAGGAUAGGUGGGAGGCUUUGAAGCA
rnacentral:rRNA from 1 species